rnacentral:rRNA from 1 species
CCUACGGGAGGCAGCAGCUAGGAAUAUUGGACAAUGGGCGAAAGCCUGAUCCAGCAACACCGCGUGGAGGACGAAGGCCUUCGGGUCGUAAACUCCUUUUUGGGGGGAUGAGAAAGGACAGUACCCCCAGAAUAAGGCCCGGCUAACUACGUGCCAGCAGCCGCGGUAAUACGUAGGGGCCAAGCGUUAUCCGGAUUUACUGGGCGUAAAGCGCAUGUAGGCGGUCUGCUAAGUCGGACGUGAAAGCUCCUGGCUGAACUGGGAGAGGUCGUGCGAAACUAGUAGACGAGAGGGUGGUAGAGGAGAGCGGAAUUCCAUGUGUAGCGGGGAAAUGCGUAGAUAUCUGGAGGAACACCAGUGGCGAAAGCGGCUCUCUGGCCCACUCCUGACGCUGAGAUGCGAAAGCCAGGGGAGAGAACGGGAGUAGAUACCCCGGUAGUC